rnacentral:rRNA from 2 species
GGGUGUAAUCAUACCAGCACCAAUGCAUUAGUUUCCAUUAGAAUAAUAACUCUACAGUCAAGCGUGUUAGAGUGAGAGUAAUACUAAAUUGAACAAUCUUUUAGGAAGUGCUUCUGUUGCACCCA